AUUGAACGCUGGCGGCAGGCCUAACACAUGCAAGUCGAGCGGAGCGGCGUACGGGUGAGUAAUGCCUAGGAAUCUGCCUGGUAGUGGAGGACAACGUACUUAAACGGGCGCUAAUACCGCAUACUUUCCUAUGCGCCUCGGUCGGAUUGGCUAGUGGGUGGGGUAAAGGGCUACAAAGGCGACGAUCCGUAACUGGUCUGAGGGGAUGAUCAGUCACAAGGGAAAUGAGACACGGUCAAGACUCCUACGGGAGGCAGCAGGGGGGAAUAUUGGACAAUGGGCGAAAGCCUGAUCCAGCAAUGCCGCGUGUGUGAAGAAGGUCUUCGGAUUGUAAAGCACUUUAAGUUGGGAGGCGUUACCAACAGAAUAAGCACCGGCUAACUUCGUGCCAGCAGCCGCGGUAAUAC
rnacentral:rRNA from 1 species